rnacentral:rRNA from 1 species
AGAACGAACGCUGGCGGCAUGCCUAACACAUGCAAGUCGAACGAGACCGCUGACUUCGGUUGGCGCGUCUAGUGGCGCACGGGUGCGUAACGCGUGGGAAUCUGCCCUUGGGUUCGGGAUAACAGUUGGAAACGACUGCUAAUACCGGAUGAUGACUUCGGUCCAAAGAUUUAUCGCCCAGGGAUGAGCCCGCGUCGGAUUAGCUAGUUUGGUGGGGUAAAAGCCUACCAAGGCGACGAUCCGUAGCUGGUCUGAGAGGAUGAUCAGCCACACGUGGGACUGAGACACGGCCCAGACUCCGUACGGGAGGCAGCAGUGGGAUAGUAGGACAAGUGGGACGAAAGCCUAGAUCAGCAA